AAAAAAACUAGAUAUUGGUACCCAGAGAGGGCCGGUUAUGAACCAGGGUUGAAAUCAGACCCUGAGGCAAAAAACCGAGUCUUGACGAUGACUCCAAGACUCUUUGGCUAAUUGAAGAGUGGGGUUUGAAAGAAGAUUGAAUAAGAUUUCUAUGGGCAUUGAUUUUGGAUAAUUUGGAAUUGAUUUGACUUUAUAAGAUCUUUGCAAAGUCAAAGUUUGUUUUGGAUGACUUGGAUUUUAUAAAAUAAAAUAGGAUUUACGUAUUGGAUGAUUUCAAGAGUUUUGUAAUAGAUCUAUGGAUGAAAUUUUGUGGGUUUAUGGUUGUAGUUGUGUUUAAUAUGUCUUGUGAAUUUGAGCUCGAUGUAACGGUUGAAUUGAAGAAUAUUGAGGCUUAAGUGGGUCAAGGUCUCAAAAAGUAGAAUUUUAGGUCUAGUGGGGGAUUUUAAGAUUUCUUGCAAUCUAAUGUUUGGAUUGGAGUGAAACUUAUGUGAGAGGAUAUUAGACUUGAUUUUCUAUGUGUAUGAGAAUUUUGAAAUCAAUCCAAUAGUGCAAAAGAGAGAUAUUGGUUUUGGAAGAUUGGCAUCAAGCUUAGAAAAGGAGGCCAGCCAAUACCUGAGCACA
rnacentral:lncRNA from 1 species